CAGUCGCCGCGGGAAUACGUAGGUGGCAAGCGUUGUCCGGAAUUAUUGGGCGUAAAGGGCUCGCAGGCGGUUUCUUAAGUCUAAUGUGAAAGCCCCCGGCUCAACCGGGGAGGGUCAUUGGAAACUGGGAAACUUGAGUGCAGAAGAGGAGAGUGGAAUUCCACGUGUAGCGGUGAAAUGCGUAGAGAUGUGGAGGAACACCAGUGGCGAAGGCGACUCUCUGGUCUGCAACUGACGCUGAGGAGCGAAAGCGUGGGGAGCGAACAGGAUUAGAUACCCCCGUAGUCCCUGUCUCUUAUAC
rnacentral:rRNA from 1 species